UACGUCCAGGUUUCAGACAGUCUUAGGGGACGUCUCAAAGACUACGCCCAGGUUUUAGACAGUCUUAGGGGACGUCACAAAGACUACGCCCAGGUUUUAGACAGUCUUAGGGGACGUCUCAAAGACUACGCCCAGGUUUUAGACAGUCUGUGGAGGGGGCUCCCCGGCCUCCACCAGAUGGUGCCAAAGCUCCACCCGGCUGAAAGCCUUGGGUUAAAAAUAAAGUGAAUGUUUUGAUUGAAGUGCAGAAAGUUGACAGACGAACUUGGCUUGACUGUUUUUCUUUUAUUUGUGGAAGAUCUUGCAGAUCGAGAGUUUAAGCAGAAAAAAAUCAAACAUGAUACAAAAAAAGAAUUUAAAGAAUAUUUCCCUUUCCUUCCUGGUUCAAACUUUCACUGGCUUAUUCAUCUCAACUUUCUUCAAGCAGUCAGGUUUUCUCCUUUUUAUUAAAAAAUAUAAAUGUAACUUUAUUAAAAGCCUUAACCUCUCAUGGUUUGACAGGGAAAUGUGGAUUAUGAAGGUCGUUUUAAGGAUGUGUGUAUAAUGCAGUGAUUGAUUAAACAGCUGAUGACAGUAACAAAGAAAUACAGGAUAUAUUUAUGUAUUUAAAAAACUAACUGAGGCGAGAGCGACCACUUCAACAAACGUACCACUGCUGGAGUUACUUUGUAUCUUUUGGUCCAUCCAGAGUCGGGAAACAACGUCUAACGAUAAAAAAUAUAUUUCAGUGCUUCUACAGAGCUAAAGAAGAGUGAGGAAAGUCUGCCGGUGUAAAAGACAAAAAGACGGCGUCAAGAAAACUCGAGUUUAUGUCCAGAGAGGACGUUGGCAAAUGUUCGUAUGUUUACAUUUAAAACUGAAACAUUUAAAUGGUAAAGUUUGUUUUUAACCCCUCAGAGUCUAAAAAGAUUUGAUCCUACAGAAUCCAGGAUCCAUCUGAGAACCGUCUUACGGACACAAAUUUACUUUUUAAUUUAAAUUUGACACAUCCAGAUGAAGAUUAGUGCCAAAAUUUAGAUUUAAAUUCUGACUUUCAACAGAUUCAAUCAAAUAAAUCUAAUCCAAAUCCUUU